UUUCCAAUGUUAGCUAUUUAUGUCUUUCCCUUUACUUUGAGUAGGCUGGCACACAACUGUGGUCCCUAUUAUUGACCCUGUGGAAGGAAGAAACCUUGUACUACAGAAGUCCAUAGACCAUCAUGGCAAAAGGACAAAAGGACAAGAAAAAAAAUUGGUGCUUCUCUGCCAUUCGGUAUUCAGAAUGGCUAAGAUCAAAAAUUCAGGUGACAGCAGAUGCUGGCGUGGAUGUGGAGAAAGAGGAACACUC
rnacentral:lncRNA from 1 species